GAUGAACGCUGGCGGCGUGCCUAAUACAUGCAAGUCGAGCGAACAGACGAGGAGCUUGCUCCUCUGACGUUAGCGGCGGACGGGUGAGUAACACGUGGAUAACCUACCUAUAAGACUGGGAUAACUUCGGGAAACCGGAGCUAAUACCGGAUAAUAUAUUGAACCGCAUGGUUCAAUAGUGAAAGACGGUUUUGCUGUCACUUAUAGAUGGAUUCGCGCCGCAUUAGCUAGUUGGUAAGGUAACGGCUUACCAAGGCGACGAUGCGUAGCCGACCUGAGAGGGGGAUCGGCCAACCGGGACAGGGGACAGGGUCCAACACCCGAAGGGAGGCAGGAGUGGGAAAUCUUCCGGAAGGGGCGAAAGGUUGAAGGGGCAAAGCGGGGGGGGGGAUGAAGGGCUUCGGAUCGUAAAACCCUGUUAUUGGGGAAGAACAAAUGUGUAAGUAACCAUGCCAGUUUGGACGGAACCUAAGAAGAAAGCCCCGGUAAACUCGGG
rnacentral:rRNA from 1 species